UUUUUUAUUUUAUUGCCCUUUCUACUGGUUUUUCUUAUUGCCCUUUUUCCUGAUUUUUUUUUUAUUUUUUUGCCCUUUCUCCUGAUGUUUUUUUUUUAUUUUAUUGCCCUUUCUCCUGAUUUUUUAUUGCUCUUUCUCCUGAUUUUUUAGGAUUUAUUGCCCUUCCUCCUGAUUUUUUACUGCCCUUUCUCCUGAUUUUUUAAAAUUUUAUUGCCCUUUCUCCUGAUUUUACCAGUGAAGGCCACUCCUCCACUUCCUGGGAACACACCCAUGGCAACUCCCAGCGUUCCACCUCAGAGCAGCCCUUGGAGAAGCAGAGUGUGUAAAAGAUGAGUUUCUGCUCCAGCUCCCUCAGCACCCCCUGCUCCUCCUCAAUCCCUCCCAAAGCCACCUGCAGAGCCACCCUCACCUCCAGCAGUGCCAGUCCUGGGGGAGGGUCCCAAACUGGGAUCCAUCCCUCAGGGGAGAGCCCUUGGAGCUCAGCAGAAUCUGGCCAAGGUCUGGGACUGCCAAAGAGCCCCUGGAGCUCAGCAGGAUCUGGCCAAGGUCUGGGACUGCCAAAGAGCCCCUGGAGCUCAGCAGGACCCGGCCAAGGUCUGGGACUGCCAAAGAGCUCCUGGAGCUCAGCAGGAUCUGGCCAAGGUCUGGGACUGCUCUGCUCCCCCAAGGCCCUCACAGGAAACUCCCUCAAGUCCCUCAGUUAUUUCCAAAGCUCCUGCCCUGGAAUGUUCUUCAGGUUGGGGUCAUGGUGAUGGAACAGUGAUGUUCAGGGAUCAUGGUGAUGGAUCGGGGAAGUUCUCCAGAUUGGGUCAUGGAGAUGGAUCAGUGACGUUCUGGGAUCAUGGUGAUGGAUCAGUGAUAUUUUGGGAUCAUGGAGAUGGAUCAGUGAUGUUCUGGGAUCAUGGUGAUGGAUCAGGGAUGUUCUCCAGGUUGGGAUCAUGGAGAUGGAUCAGGGAUGUCUUGGGCCCAUGAUCAUGGAUCGGGGAUGUUCUCCAGGUUGGGGUCAUGGUGAUGGAUCAGGGAUGUUCUGGGAUCAUGGGGAUGGAUCAGUGAUGUUCUGGGAUCAUGGUGAUGGAUCAGGGAUGUUCUGGGAUCAUGGUGAUGGAUCAGUGAUGUUCUGGGAUUAUGGUGAUGGAUCAGGGAUGUUCUGGGAUCAUGGGAUGGAUCAGUGAUGUUCUGGGAUCAUGGUGAUGGAUCAGGGAUGUUCUGGGAUCAUGGUGAUGGAUCAGGGAUGUUUUGGGAUCAUGGUGAUGGAUCAGUGAUGUUUUGGGAUCAUGGUGAUGGAUCAGGGAUGUUCUCCAGAUUGGGUCAUGGAGAUGGAUCAGUGAUGUUUUGGGAUCAUGGUGAUGGAUCAGGGAUGUUCUCCAGGUCGGGAUCAUGGUGAUGGAUCAGUGAUGUUUUGGGCCCAUGGUAAUGGAUCGGGGAUGUUCUCCAGGUUUGGGAUCAUGGUGAAGGGUCAGUGAAGUUCUCCAGCUUGGGGUCAUGGUGAUGGAUCAGAGAUGUUUUGCGCUCAUGCUGAUGGAUCAGGGAUGUUCUGGGAUCAUGGUGAUGGAUCAGGGAUGUUCUGGGAUCAUGGAGAUGGAUCAGUGAUGUUCUCCAGGUUGGGGUCAUGGAGAUGAAUCAGGGAUGUUUCGGGAUCAUGGAGAUGGAUCAGUGAUGUUUUGGGAUCAUGGUGAUGGAUCAGUGAUGUUCUCCAGGCUGGGAUUAUGGAGAUGGAUCAGUGAUGUUUUGGGAUCAUGGUGAUGGAUCAGUGAUGUUCUCCAGGUUGGGAUCAUGGAGAUGAAUCAGGGAUGUUUCGGGAUCAUGGAGAUGGAUCAGGGAUGUUUUGGGAUCAUGGGGAUGGAUCAGUGAUGUUCUGGGAUCAUGGGGAUGGAUCAGUGAUGUUUUGGGAUCAUGGUGAUGGAUCAGUGAUAUUCUGGGCUCAUAGGGAUGGAUCAGGGAUGUUCUGGGAUCAUGGGGAUGGAUCAGGGAUGUUCUGGGAUCAUGGUGAUGGAUCAGGGAUGUUCUGGGAUCAUGGUGAUGGAUCAGGGAUGUUCUUGGGAUCAUGGAGAUGAAUCAGGGAUGUUUUGUGGAUCAUGGUGAUGGAUCAGUGAUGUUCUGGGAUCAUGGUGAUGGAUCAGGGAUGUUUUGGGAUCAUGGUGAUGGAUCAGUGAUGUUUUGGGAUCAUGGUGAUGGAUCAGUGAUGUUCUGGGAUCAUGGUGAUGGAUCAGGGAUGUUCUGGGAUCAUGGAGAUGGAUCAGCCUGGGCUCUGAGCUCAGCCCUUGGCUGGAGGUGCAGGAGCUCAGCCCGAGGCAGGAAUGGCACCAGGGCUGGGAUUAGGGUUGGCCUGGAGGUGUCCCAAGGGGCUUUGAGGUCCUUUCCCACCAAACCAUUCCAUGACUCCAAAUGCCAGGAACCAACAGCAGGAAGAGAUUUCCCUGCACCUGCCUGGGCUGGUUCCACCCCAAAUCUCACCCCAGGCACCACCAGGACAUUGGGAUUUGUCCUGCCCAGCACCACGAGUCCUUCCCACCGGGCUCAGCCACCCCAGGGGAUGGAGCUGCCUCUCCAGGGCACUGCCCUGCCCACGGGAGUGCUUCCCUGAUAAAACCUGGAUCAAUUCCUGACAGAAUGCACCUGACAGGGACAUCCUCCACCUCCACUAAAUAACUGCUGCCUCAUCCAACACCCCCAAAAGUCAUUUUUGGGCAGAGGAUUCCUGCUGCAGUCCAUGAUGGCAAGGACACUGCUCUGGACACAGCGGGGGAUGGUUAUCCCACAGAUUUGGGAUAUUCAGCACCCACAGCUGCUUUUCCCUGCAAAUAUUGCUCAGGAUUGGGCUUUUCAGGGCUGUGCACACAGCAGCUGAGAGUGCUGAGAGCAGAAGGUGGUUCCAGCUGUGUUUCCAGUGUGCACUCACAGCCUGCGCUAUCCCAGCUUUAUUCCAGGUGGGAAUUCCCUGCUGGUGGACAGCAAACCCCAGUUUUGGGCUAAGGAGUGGGAUGAUCACUUUUAAUCCAGAGCCAGGGGAGAAGGGGAUCAGGGGAAAGUGCAGCAAACCCUGCUGCUCUCACUGCUCCCAUCCCAGCCCAGAGCCCUGGCAAGGUCGGGACUGGGACAGGCUGGAGGCACAGGGCAGUCCUGGGCUCUGGGCACCAAAUUCCCACAAAAUUCCCCACAAAAAUUCCCUUCCCUCUGCAAUCCCCCUGCAAUCCCUAUUCCCACCACUCCUGCUCCAAGGCCUCAGGGACCGAGAUGACUUCUCCAAUUCUCCAACCAAAGUGGGACCAAACCCUUCCCUCCUGGAUCCCCUCAGGAUGGAUUUGGACUUGCCAGCCUUCUCCCAGCUCACCCCAUGGGGAUUUCUCUCUCCCAAGGUGGUUUUGUGCCAUUUUCCCUGCCCAGCAGGUCCAGGAGUGAUUUCCCCAGCAGGGCUCUUGGGCACAGGGAGCUGCUGGGCAGGGAAAAGCCCCCGGGAAUGCUCUGGUUUGUCCCCACUGAGGCCACUCAGCCCCAGGGAACGUUCACCAGUGCCAAAAGUGAUGCCUCAGGUUUUAAUUCUUCUAUUUUUCACAUUCUGUGCUGCUUUAAUGGGGGGGUCUGGGCUCCAUAUUAUGGGAUGGAGAGCUCUGUGCACAGAGCAGGGAGACAAAACAAUUCCUGCUCCAGCUGGGCACCAAGGACAAAUGACCCAAAUCUCAGCCCAGGAGCACAAACAGGAGAGAGAAAAACAAGCAGGGUGGGACUUGAAAACCUAAAGCUGGGCUGGGACAAUGAACUGCAAGGUGGGAAUGGAGCAGAGCUGAUCCCAGGGACAGACCCCGUGCCCAGCUGUGCAUUUUGGGGCCAUUUUGGUUCAUCUUGGGUGCAGCCCUGGCUGGGCUCUGGUGCUGCCCAAGGUGGGUCCAUGCAGGAGAUCCUUGGAAUCAAUCCCUGCUUUAUUCUUUAGCUCUGUCCAGCCCCUGUUCUAGGUCAGCCUUCUCAAGGCAUCAAGGGAAGCUCCAGACAAAGCCAUUUCCCACCUCACUGCCUGGAUCCAGCUGCCACAGGCACUCAGGGCACAAAUUCCCACUUUUUCCUUUGGAGCACCCCCUGUUCCCCUCUCCUGUGUGCCAGGAGCUCUUUGCUGAGGGUCAGCCACCCCCAGUGCCAGGGCUGGCAGUGCCAGGGCAGGGUUAGGGAAGCAGCUCCUGUGCCAGGUUACAUUCCCCAACAUGCAGCAGCCCCAAAGCAGCACAAAGCCCACAUGCAAAGCCAGCCCCACCCAGGCACAGGGACAGGGACAGGGACAGGGACAGGGACAGGGACAGGGACAGGGACAGGGACAUGGACUCAGCCAGCAAGGAGCUGCCCAGCCCCGGGGUUCCCAGCUGGAAGCACUGGGUUACUCUGAGGUUACACCAGGGUUACUCCCAGGAGCAGGCUCUGGGUUAGGGAAUGGCAGGGGGGGUGUUAGGAGAGGAGCUGGACACGAGCAGUGCUGGGUCUGGUCUUACCUUCUGCAGGUGGAGUGCAGCCCAAAAAAAGGAGAGAAACACCCCUUUAACAACUUCAGCAGAACAAUGGAGUCAUCAAUGCACACACACCCCCUCCCCCUUCCACCAGAACCACAUCCCAGGGCUUUGGGAUCCCAGGGCUUUGGGAUCCCAGGAAAGGCAGG